UUGAACAUACGCGUGUAAAUACCAAGGGCUCCAAACAAGGCUAUGCGACAUCGUGCCAUUUACACAGGUGAAGUAUACUUAUCACCCCACAUAUGGUACAGGGAUAUAUACAAGGCAUGCAUUCCUGGCACAGUUUGAGUACCAAUAGGUUGGCCAGACCACACUCCUGUAAAGGAUUCUAUGCACACCUGUAGCUAAGCUUCAAAAAUUACGGAGGAAGAGCAGUACGUGGAACCAGCUACAGCCACAAAAACGUGUUAAGAAAUGGAAGAAGAACAGAUUGGUGAUAUCAUCUUAUGGCCUCUCUACCUGUGUGUCAUUCUACUCCUUGUCGUUGACGUAAUUACCCCUGUUGCAAUGACGCUGCUCCAUCAGUGGCUAGACAGAUACACGAAUAAGCUACCCGAUGACAACAUCAUGAAGGAAAUAGACACAAGUUCUAUAACAGCAUCUGGCAAAUCAUAUGGAGGAGUACACAAUGCAGCAAUGGCUGAUUGGCAAUGAGAACAUUUCAAGAUGGACAUUUGAUGUGUAAAUGUUAUACUAUUGGUUGCCAUACUGAAGUAUUGUCAGGAAAUAAGCAGUGAGUAUAACCAUAGAUAUAUACAAACACAGUGUGUGCAUAUAUCUAUGGUGUAACACAGACAAGGUAUCUGUUUAUAUUCACACGCUCACUGUGAAUUUCUCUUGUUUAACGUGUAUACUCCCGUCUAUCUUGUUCAAGAUAUCUAUCUUUGCUAAAAUGUGAUUUGGACUAGUUGGACUCUACGAGCCACAUAAACAGGUUAAUGGAACUAAUUUAUGGUCCGAAAUAUCACAGCAGUGAACGAUCAGUGUAUCAAGUGCAAUGUUUUAGCAUAUAAAGACUAAUGAUUUUUGUGAAUAUCCAGAUUACUAAACAGCACGUUUUACACUAGCAGAUAAAUGUAUAUAUUAUUUUAUGGCAAAAAUACAACAUUAGUUGACUGCCAUAUCAUAUUACUUACUUACUUACUUAACCCUCUUCAUUUCUGACAGGAACAUGUGGACCAAUCUAUAUAAUAUAGUGAUGUAUUUUAUUGUAAUCAUACCUUAUGUCAGGAAAUCAUGGUAUUUAUAUUCUACGUAAACUCCCACAAGCUGUUGAUAAUUAAAUAACACUGCAGGUGCAAUCACUUUAAAUUACAUGUAUGUGUAUUUGUAUGUACAUGUAUGUACAUGAUGUACAUGACAUACAAUUCAUGUAUGUACAUGAAUGUACAUGUAUGUGUAUAUACAUGUAUGUGUAUACACAUGUAUGUGUAUCAAUAAUCAUUCCUUUCGUUGAAUGCUUUGAGCUGUCUAAGGUGAUAAAGAAAUUGUGGUAGGGUCACUAAUCUACACAAAUGCAAAGUUAUCACAUUAUCGAUAAAAUUUUCGAGCUAAUAAAAGUUUGUCCAAAAUUCUUCAAGAACUAAA